AGUGAACGCUGGCGGUAGGCCUAACACAUGCAAGUCGAACGGCAGCACAGUAAGAGCUUGCUCUUACGGGUGGCGAGUGGCGGACGGGUGAGGAAUACAUCGGAAUCUACUUUUUCGUGGGGGAUAACGUAGGGAAACUUACGCUAAUACCGCAUACGACCUACGGGUGAAAGCAGGGGAUCUUCGGACCUUGCGCGAUUGAAUGAGCCGAUGUCGGAUUAGCUAGUUGGCGGGGUAAAGGCCCACCAAGGCGACGAUCCGUAGCUGGUCUGAGAGGAUGAUCAGCCACACUGGAACUGAGACACGGUCCAGACUCCUACGGGAGACAGCAGUGGUGAAUAUUGGACAAUGGGCGCAAGCCUGAUCCAGCCAUACCGCGUGGGUGAAGAAGGCCUUCGGGUUGUAAAGCCCUUUUGUUGGGAAAGAAAAGCAGCAGGUUAAUACCCCGCUGUUCUGACGGUACCCAAAGAAUAAGCACCGGCUAACUUCGUG
rnacentral:rRNA from 1 species